rnacentral:lncRNA from 1 species
GCACCAGUGACUCGUCGAUCUGCCUCUCUCCCCCACAAGGUACGUUAUUCUUAUCCCCUUGUUGCGUCCUCCAGCGGACAUGCAAAUUGUGGCAAUAUUGUUGGAUCCUUCAGUUUUGUGGAGUGUUUUGCAUCAUAUUGUGGUCCACGACAAAGGAAUGUGUUUCUACUUUUGUUUCCCUGCACAUUGUAAUCGGCGGUCGUAGCAGCGAUUAGUUCUCUUCUACCAUGUCCGCCCAUGAUAUUUGUGGCUUCUCCACCGUCUGCUAAUGUUGCUGCCGUUGCGGUGCGUUGGCCACACAUCAGAAUUCCACCUGCUGGACUCACAUGGCAUAUGCUACGGGGCAACUAGAUAGAGUCCCGCCCCAAGGGCUCGACCUUCUCCAUCCAAUCUUGUGGUCGGUGCGGAACUCUGAGAUGAUGUGUGCAAGGUUGAUACAACUGGGCAUGUAAGUGUGUUAGGGUGGCUCAGAUUGAAAUUACAGCACUCAUUGGCCCAGAUCUGAUGGUGUCAAUUAGGAACAAUUCAACUUAUAACCCUCAGGUUUCUGGAGACCAUUCUUCAUGAAUGCACACAUAUAUUCCCGGUUUAUUGUGCUAAUGCCUGACAUUAUGGAUUUAUUAUUGUGCUUCGAUGCAAGCAUAUUAUUUGUGUGCUUCUACGCAAGCAUAUUACAUAAAGAUACAAGCCAGCUGCUAGCUAAAGGAAUUUUGUUUGUCCUUGAUACGGUUGAGAUCUUAGAGGAAGAGGCCUUCAAAUUAAUUUGAUUAUGUUUCCAUGGAUAUCCGGUAAUUUCAUGUCUUGUUUCACGAAGUGUACUCUUCAAUCUUCUCAAGUUGAUAUAUUAGGUGUUGGUUUCUUCAUCUUUAAAAUCAACACUAUAUAAUAAUAAAUAUCUCAAAUCUUUGCAGGAAGAAUUAGUGCUUUCACAACACUCAGUGGCAGCUAAAGCUGUAGUUUUUCAUGUACCAGAUAAUUGCCUUGAAGAGAAAAUAGUUGCUUGUGUUAGUACCAUGCAUGAGUGGAGGUGGGUUGAUGCAGCAAUUAUUCACCAAGGAGAAUGCACAGAAGUGUCGGUGCAACAGCCCCUGUGUCCAUUGCCCAGACUGUGCACAGGCACAAGAACAAGAUUGAAGCACCGGAUGAAGUGAGAGAUUGAAGGACCAAGAGAUUUGAAGAACCAACAUGUAGUUCAGAGGGACCAAGAUCAAGCCAGAGGAGCAACAUAUCGGCAAGAGAAGGGCCUCCCUUGCCGGGCAGGCGAGCCCGGCAAGGGGUGAGGCCACCACCAGAAGCAGACGAUCAAGACACCCCGGCAGGGCCUGCCGGGGCUCGUGGAGGCAAAACCUCCCCACCAACCACUCAAACACGACCCACGUCAUCAAUCAGUGCGGUGUCAAGCCGCAAGGUGAUUAAGUGGCAGCCAUUCGGCACAUGGCGGCCAUUUCCUACAGAACAAACCCACAGAUGACACUCGUCCUGCGAUGUGUCAAGAGAACAGGCACGGAGCUGGCAAGAUAGCCCGGCAAGCCUUGUCGGGCAACCAAUGAUGUGACACUAAGCAGUGCAUUUAAUGCACCCUGUCAGCCCGUAGAGUUAGGUAUGAUAGCACUGUUUGCCAUCAUAUCAAUGGAUAAUGACCACUUUGCCAUUCUGGUGACCCCUUAAUCUAUAAAAGGAGGCCCAUGGCACUCGUAGGAAGGGUUGGAAAGUUGACGAACCCACACCCUCAUAAGCGCGUAGUCGAUGCUGCCCUACGGCGACCCCUGUCGGGCAAGUGUACUGCAUUGCACCAUCCCCAUUCCACCAUCAAUCCACUAAAGCAGGAGUAGGGUUUUACGCCUCGCGGCGGCCUGAACCUGGGUAAAUUACUUGUGUGCUCUCUGCCGUGAUGCCGUGCACUGGUCUACUCUUUGUGCAACGCGACGUCCCCCUGCCGAACCAGCAAGGGGCCUCCUGGUCCCAUAGGUGGCCGUGGAUAUCCCGCGACAACUUUGGCGCGCCAGGUAGGGGGCUCGCUUGCGCGAACCUGAAAGCAUGCGCAGCGCAUCAUCUUCAUCACCAUCUUCGUCUUUGAUGACGCCAUCGACCAUGGCGCCCAAGAAGAAGAAGUCCAGCCCUUUGACCCAUCCGUCCACCUCGAAGGCUCCGCCGCCCGCGGCCUCUGGUGCCUUGGAGGAUGCGGGGGCGAGCAAGGACGUGAACGCUGCUCGGGGCGUGGUUGGAGCAGGUGGCGCCAUCGCCGCUCCCCCCGCGGCCGGCGCGGGGGCUGGAGAUGUCGGAGGAGAACAGCAUCAGCAAUGCCUUGACGGUCACGCUCCACAAGGUACGGCCGAGGGGGUCACUCCGUUUGCACCCCCUCCUACCACUGACGGGCACACCCGCAGCAAUGGUGCUCGGUACGGGGUGAGCCAUCGUCCUCCUGCCGCCCCCACCGCGGGAGAGACCGCGGCCCACGUGCCUCCUCCCGAACGAGCCGACCAGACCGCUACGCCCGUCGGAGCCGCUGACCAUCGAGCACCAUCGCCGCGUGACCCCACUGCCCAUGUGGUCAUCCCACAGCUGCGUGGACGCGGCACUACCGCCAUCACCGCCGCUGGCACCAUCAGGAGCCGGGAGACGGUGAUGUCUACUACGCAACCUUCUUCUUAUAGACGUUGUUGGGCCUCCAAGUGCAGAGGUUUGUAGGACAGUAGCAAAUUUCCCUCAAGUGGAUGACCUAAUGUUUAUCAAUCCGUGGGAGGCGUAGGAUGAAGAUGGUCUCUCUCAAACAACCCUGCAACCAAAUAACAAAGAGUCUCUUGUGUCCCCAACACACCCAAUACAAUGGUAAAAUGUAUAGGCGCACUAGUUCAGCAAAGAGAUGGUGAUACAAUUGCAAUAUGGAUGGUAGAUAUAGGUUUUUGUAAUCUGAAAAUAUAAAAACAGCAAGGUAACUAAUGAUAAAAGUGAGCACAAACGGUAUUGCAAUGCGUUGAAACAAGGCCUAGGGUUCAUACUUUCACCAGUGCAAGUUCUCUUAACAAUAAUAACAUAAUUGAAUCAUAUAACUAUCCCUCAACAUGCAACAAAGAGUCACUCCAAAGUCACUAAUAGCGGAGAACAAACGAAGAGAUUAUGGUAGGGUACGAAACCACCUCAAAGUUAUCCUUUCUGAUCGAUCUAUUCAAGAGUCCGUAGUAAAAUAACACGAAGCUAUUCUUUCCGUUCGAUCUAUCAUAGAGUCUGUACUAGAAUAACACCUUAAGACACAAAUCAACCAAAACCCUAAUGUCACCUAGAUACUCCAAUGUCACCACAAGUAUCCAUGGGUAUGAUUAUAUGAUAUGCAUCACACAAUCUCAGAUUCAUUUAUUCAACCAACACAAAGAACUUCAAAGAGUGCCCCAAAGUUUCUACCGGAGAGUCAAGAUGAAAACGUGUGCCAACCCCUAUGCAUAAGUUCACAAUGUUACGGAACCCGCAAGUUGAUCACCAAAACAUACAUCAAGUCGAUCACGUGAAUAUCCCAUUGUCACCACAGAUAAGCACAUGCAAGACAUACAUCAAGUGUUCUCAAAUCCUUAAAGACUCAAUCCAAUAAGAUAACUUCAAAGGGAAAACUCAAUCCAUUACAAAAGAGUAGAGGGGGAGAAACAUCAUAAGAUCCAACUAUAAUAGCAAAGCUCGCGGUACAUCAAGAUCAUAUCACCUCAAGAACAUGAGAGAGAGAGAGAGAUCAAACACAUAGCUACUGGUACAUACCCUCAGCCCCGAGGGUGAACUACUCCCUCCUCGUCAUGGAGAGCAUCGGGAUGAUGAAGAUGGCCACCGGUGAGGGAUCCCCCCUCCGGCAGGGUGCCGGAAUGGGUCUAGAUUGGUUUUCGGUGGCUACAAAGGCUUGCGGCGCCGGAACUCCGGAUCUAGGUUAUGUUUUGGGGGUUUCCAUAUAUAUAAGAGGUUUUGGCGUCGGGAACAAGUCAGGGGGGUCUCCGAGGCGGCCACAAGGUAGGGGCGCGCCCAAGGGGGUAGGGUGGGCCCCCCACCCUCGUGGGUGCCUCGGGAACCUUCUGGCCCAUCUCCGAUGCUCCGUGGGCUUCUUCUGGUCCAAAAAUAAUCUCCGUCAAAUUUCAGGUCAAUUGGACUCCGUUUGGUUAUCCUUUUCUGCAAUAGUCAAAAACAAGGAAAAAUAGAAACAGGCACUGGGCUCUAGGUUAAUAGGUUAGUCCCAAAAAUCAUAUGAAAUAGCAUAUAAAUGCAUAUAAAACAUCCUAGAUGGAUAAUAUAAUAGCAUGGAAUAAUCAAAAAUUAUAGAUACGUUGGACACGUAUCAAGCAUCCCCAAGCUUAAUUCAUGCUCGUCCUCGAGUAGGUAAAUGAUAAAAUCUGAAUUUUCAAUGUGGAAUGCUACCUAACAUAAUUAUCAAUGUAAUCUUCUUUAUUGUGGCAAGAAUAUUCAGAUCCAUAAGAUUCAAAACAAAAGUUUAAUAUUGACAUGAAAACAAUAAUACUUCAAGCAUACUAAGAAAGCAAUCAUGUCUUCUCAAAAUAACAUGGCCAAAGCAAGCUAUCCCUACAAAAUCAUAUAGUCUGGCUAUGCUCUAUCUUCAUCACACAAAAUAUUUAAAUCAUGCACAACCCUGAUGACAAGCCAAGCAAUUGUUUCAUACUUUUGAUGUUCUCAAACUUUUUCAAUCUUCACGCAAUACAUGAGCGUGAGCCAUGGACAUAGCACUAUAGGUGGAAUAGAAUGGUGGUUGUGGAGAAGACAAAAAGGAGAAGAUAGUCUCACAUCAACUAGGCGUAUCAACGGGCUAUGGAGAUGCCCAUCAAUAGAUAUCAAUGUGAGUGAGUAGGGAUUGCCAUGCAACGGAUGCACUAGAGCUAUAAGUGUAUGAAAGCUCAACAAAAGAAACUAAGUGGGUGGUCAUCCAACUUGCUUGCUCACGAAGACCUAGGGCAAUUUGAGGAAGCCCAUUAUUGGAAUAUGCAAGCCAAGUUCUAUAAUGAAAGAUUCCCACUAGUAUACGAAAGUGACAAGAUAGGAGACUCUCUAUCAUGAAGAUCAUGGUGCUACUUUGAAGCACAAGUAUGGUAAAAGGAUAGUAGCAUUGCGCCUUUUCUCUUUUUCUCUCAUCAUUUUUUUUGGGCCUUCUCCUUUUUUAUGGCCUCUUUUUUUUAUUUGGGCUUCUUUGGCCUCUUUUAUUUAUUUAUUUUCAUCCGAAGUCUCAUCCCGACUUGUGGGGGAAUCAUAGUCUCCAUCAUCCUUUCCUCACAUGGGACAAUGCUCUAAUAAUGAAGAUCAUCACACAUUUAUUUACUUACAACUCAAGAAUUACAACUCGAUACUUAGGACAAAUAUGACUCUAUGUGAAUGCCUCCGGCGGUGUACCGGGAUGUGCAAUGAAUCAAGAGUGACAUGUAUGAAAAUCAUUAACGGUGGCUUUGCCACAAAUACGAUGUCAACUGCAUGAUCAUGCAAAGCAAUACGACAAUGAUGAAGCGUGUCAUAAAAACGGAACGGUGGAAAGUUGCAUGGCAAUAUAUCUCAGAAUGGCUAUGGAAAUGCCAUAAUAGGUAGUAUGGUGGCUGUUUUGAGGAAGGUAAUGGUGGGUGUUAUGGUACCGGCGAAAGUUGCGCGGCACAAGAGAGGCUAGCAAUGAUGGAAGGAUGAGAAUGUGUAUAAUCCCUGGACUCAACAUUAGUCAUAAAGAACUCAUAUACUUACUGCAAAAAUUUAUUAGUUAUCGAAACGAAGUACUAUGCACAUGCUCCUAGGGGGAUAGAUUGGUAGGAAAAGACCAUGGCUCGUCCCCGACCGCCACUCAUAAGGAAGACAAUCAAUAAAUAAAUCAUGCUCCGACUUCGUCACAUAACGGUUCACAAUACGUGCAUGCUACGGGAAUCAUAAACUUUAACACAAGUAUCUCUCAGAUUCACAACUACUCAACUAGCAUGACUCUAAUAUCACCAUCUUCAUAUCUCAAAACAAUCAUAAGGAAUCAAACUUCUCAUAGUAUUCAAUGCACUUUAUAUGAAAGUUUUUAUUAUAUCCCUCUUGGAUGCCUAUCAUAUUAGGACUAAAUUUUAUAACCCAAGGAAAUUACCAUGCUGUUUAAGACUCUCAAAAUAAUAUAAGUGAAGCAUGAGAGUUCAUCUAUUUCUUCAAAAUAAAACCACCUCUGUGCUCUAAAAGAUAUAAAUGAGGCACUAGAGCAACGACAAACUACUCCGAAAGAUAUAAGUGAAGAUCAAUGAGUAGUUGAAUAAUUAUGUAACUAUGUGAAGACUCUAACAUUCAAGAAUUUCAGAUCUUGGUAUUUUAUUCAAACAGCAAUCAAAACAAAAGAAAAUAAAAUGUCGCUCCAAGCAAAACACAUAUCAUGUGGUGAAUAAAAAUAUAGCUCCAAGUAAAGUUACCGAUGAACGAAGAUGAAAGAGGGGAUGCCUUCCGGGGCAUCCCCAAGCUUAGGCUCUUGGUUGUCCUUGAAUAUUACCUUGGGGUUCCUUGGGCAUCCCCAAUCUUAGGCUCUUGCCACUCCUUAUUCCAUAGUCCAUCGAAUCUUUACCCAAAACUUGAAAACUUCACAACACAAAACUCAACAGAAAACUCGUAAGCUCCGUUAGUAUAAGAAAAUAAAUCACCACUUAGGUACUGUUGUGAACUCAUUCUAAAUCCUUAUCGGUGUAAUAUCUACUGUAUUCCAACUUAUCUAUGGUUCAUACCCUCCGAUACUACUCAUAGGUUCAUCAAAAUAAGCAAACAACAUAAUGAAAACAGAAUCUGUCAGAAACAGAACAGUCUGUAGUAAUCUGUAUCAAACAUAUACUUCUGCAACUCCAAAAAUACUGAAAUAAAUUUUUUGACCUGAGGAAUUUGUCUAUUAAUCAUCUGCAAAAAUAAUCAACCUAAAAGCACUCUCCAGUAAAAAAAAUGGCAGCUAAUCUCGUGAGCGCUAAAGUUUCUGUUUUUUUACAGCAUGAUCAUAAAGACUUCACCCAAGUCUUCCCAAAGGUUCAACUUGGCACAAACACUAAUUAACAUAAAACCACAUAUAACCAGAGACUAGAUAGAUUAUUUAUUACUAAACAGGAGCAAAAAUCAAGGAACAAAAAUAAAAUUGGGUUGCCUCCCAGCAAGCGCUAACGUUUAACGCCCCUAGCUAUGCAUGAUGAUUUCAAUGAUGCUCACAUAAAAGAUAAGAAUUGAAACAUAAAGAGAUCAUCAUGAAGAAUAUGACUAGAACAUUUAAGUCUAACCCACUUCCUAUGCAUAGGGAUUUUGUGAGCAAACAACUUAUGGGAACAAUGAUCAACUAGCAUAUGAAGGCAAAACAAGCAUAACUUCAAAACUUUAAGCACAUAGAGAGGAAACUUGAUAUUAUUGCAAUUCCUACAAGCAUAUAUUCCUCCCUCAUAAUAAUUUUCAGUAGAAUCAUGAAUGAAUUCAACAAUAUAACCAGCACCUAAAGCAUUCUUUUCAUGAUCUACAAGCAUAGAAAUUUUAUUACUCUCCACAUAAGCAAAAUUCUUCUCAUUCAGAAUAGUGGGAGUAUCAUAAGAAACUCGAAUACUAUAAAUUGUUUCCAUAUUAAAAGAGUAUUGUUCAGAAAUAGGGUAAUCAUAAUGACACGUUUUAUAAAUAUAAUUAUCACUACUUUUUAUAGCAUAAGUGUCAUCACAAUAAUCAUCAUAAAUAGCAACUUUGUUCUCAUCAUAAUCGAUUGAAACCUCUUCCAAGAUAGUGGAAUCAUUACUAAAUAAAGUCAUGACCUCUCCAAAUCCACUUUCAUAAUUGUCACAAUAAGAUUCAACACCCUACAAAAUAGUGGGAUCAUUACUUCCUAAAGUUGACACUCUUCCAAGCCCACUUUCAUCAAUAUAAUCAUCAUAAGUAGGAGGCAUGCUAUCAUCAUAAUAAAUUUGCUCAUCAAAACUUGGGAGGCUGAAAAUAUCAUCUUCAUUAAACAUAGCAUCCCCCAGCUUAUGACAAACAUUAAUUGCAGCAAAUAUAUUCUCAAACAUGUCAUUCUCAUCAAACAUAGCAUCCCCAAGUUUGGGCCUUUUCAUAUCAUAAGCAUGAUCACUCUCAUCAUUAAUAGUAUGGAUAGCACCAAUAGUAUAGCAAUUAUCAUCAUUACAAUGAGUAAUAGGAGCAACAUCAUUUGGGAGGGAUACCUUUUCACCUUUGCUUCUCCGUCUUUUCUUUUUCUUCUUCACAUUAUGUGUGGGUUUAAUCCUCUUUUUGGAGCUCCUUAUUAAUGAGAUUGGUUGAAUAGAAGGUUCCUCCUCGUUACCUGAUUCAUCAUAAGAAAUAAUAGGAAGAUAUUGGGAAGUAUCUUCUCUUUCAUUAGUAUUCUCUUCAUCUUCUAUUUGUUUUCUUUUCUUUAUGUAAUUGGCAAUAUAAGGAUUUUCAAUGCAAUUCACCGCACAAUACAUAAAAAUUUCUUCUAGAUCAAAAUCAAGAAAUCUAUCAAGAUUAAAUUUUGGAAUACCCUCAGUUAUACGUUUCAUUUCUAUAUACCCCAAAAGAAGACUAAGCUCUUUAUGAUGCUCAAGGUUAAUCAAGUUAUCACAAUUUUUGGACACGAUUUGAUCAUGAAACAAAUAGCAUUGGAGCUUUAAAUGACCAUGUUCAUUGCAAAGUUCACAAGGAUGACGAUAAAUAUUGAAUCUUUCAGCACAAUCAUCUAGCCUUUCUUGCAACCAUUUAUCUAUCUUCCCUAUUUGGUAUUCCACAAAAUAUGGCAUGCUUAUAAGAGACAUUUUCAUCAUGACUAGUGCAAUCAUCAUUAGUACUAUGGAUAUUCAAAGAAUUCAUUCUAACAACAUUGCAAUCAUGCUCAUCAUUCAAAUAUUUAGUGUCAAGCAUUCUAAUGCAUUGUUCUUGUAACAUUUUGGCACAAUUGUCGGAAUCCUUAUUUUCAUGAAAGAUAUUAAAAAGAUGAAGCAUAUGAGGUACCGUCAAUUCCAUUUUUUUGUAGUUUUCUUUUAUAGACUAAACUAGUGAUAAAGCAAGAAACUAAAAGAUUCAAUUGCAAGAUCUAAAGAUAUACCUUCAAGCACUCACCUCCCCGGCAACGGCGCUAGAAACUGCUUGAUGUCUACUAUGCAACCUUCUUCUUGUAGACGUUGUUGGGCCUCCAAGUGCAGAGGUUUGUAGGACAGUAGCAAAUUUCCCUCAAGUGGAUGACCUAAGGUUUAUCAAUCCGUGGGAGGCGUAGGAUGAAGAUGGUCUCUCUCAAACAACCCUGCAACCAAAUAACAAAGAGUCUCUUGUGUCCCCAACACACCCAAUACAAUGGUAAAUUGUAUAGCGCACUACUUCAGCAAAGAGAUGGUGGUACAAGUGCAAUAUGGAUGGUAGAUAUAGGUUUUUGUAAUCUGAAAAUAUGAAAACAGCAAGGUAACUAAUGAUAAAAGUGAGCACAAACGGUAUUGCAAUGCGUUGAAACAAGGCCUAGGGUUCAUACUUUCACUAGUGCAAGUUCUCUUAACAAUAAUAACAUAAUUGGAUCAUAUAACUAUCCCUCAACAUGCAACAAAGAGUCACUCCAAAGUCACUAAUAGCGGAGAACAAACGAAGAGAUUAUGGUAGGGUACGAAACCACCUCAAAGUUAUCCUUUCUGAUCGAUCUAUUCAAGAGUCCGUAGUAAAAUAACACGAAGCUUUCUUUCUGUUCGAUCUAUCAUAGAGUUCGUACUAGAAUAACACCUUAAGACACAAAUCAACCAAAACCCUAAUGUCACCUAGAUACUCCAAUGUCACCACAAGUAUCCAUGGGUAUGAUUAUACGAUAUGCAUCACACAAUCUCAGAUUCAUCUAUUCAACCAACACAAAGAACUUCAAAGAGUGCCCCAAAGUUUCUACCGGAGAGUCAAGACAAAAAUGUGUGCCAACCCCUAUGCAUAAGUUCACAAUGUUACGGAACCCGCAAGUUGAUCACCAAAACAUACAUCAAGUCGAUCACGUGAAUAUCCCAUUGUCACCACAGAUAAGCACAUGCAAGACAUACAUCAAGUGUUCUAAAAUCCUUAAAGACUCAAUCCGAUAAGAUAACUUCAAAGGGAAAACUCAAUCCAUUACAAGAGAGUAGAGGGGGAGAAACAACAUAAGAUCCAACUAUAAUAGCAAAGCUCGCGGUACAUCAAGAUCGUAUCACCUCAAGAACACGAGAGAGAGAGAGAGAGAGAGAGAGAGAUCAAACACAUAGCUACUGGUACAUACCCUCAGCCCCGAGGGUGAACUACUCCCUCCUCGUCAUGGAGAGCGCCGGGAUGAUGAAGAUGGCCACCGGUGAGGGAUCCCCCCUACGGCAGGGUGCCGAAACGGGUCUAGAUUGGUUUUCGGUGGCUACAGAGGCUUGCGGCGGCGGAACUCGCGAUCUAGGUUAUGUUCUGGGGGUUUCUGUAUAUAUAAGAGGUUUUGGCGUCGGGAACAAGUCAGGGGGUCUUCGAGGCAGCCACGAGGUAGGGGGCGCGCCCAGGGGGUAGGGUGCGCCCCCCACCCUCGUGGGUGCCUCGGGAACCUUCUGGCCCAUCUCCGAUGCUCCGUGGGCUUCUUCUGGUCCAAAAAUAAUCUCCGUCAAAUUUCAGGUCAAUUGGACGCCGUUUGGUUUUCCUUUUCUGCAAUACUCAAAAACAAGGAAAAACAGAAACUGGCACUGGCUCUAGGUUAAUAGGUUAGUCCCAAAAAUCAUAUAAAAUAGCAUAUAAAUGCAUAUAAAACAUCCUAGAUGGAUAAUAUAAUAGCAUGGAACAAUCAAAAAUUAUAGAUACGUUGGAGAUGUAUCAGACGGUGCGGUCGACUUCAUCGACAUCUAUGCCAAGCACAGCCACGGAGGCUAUGGCGCGAGCUCAGUUGCUACUGAAGUUUCCGCCUGCGGCCGAGCAGAUGUAUGAAUGGCAUGCCACCAUCCAGAGCCUGUUGGGUUUCGCCGAUGCUGAGGGCUCACGACGAGCUGGCCCGCCACGACCUCCUCAAGCGACACCGACCGCCCGUACUGCUGGCCGAACGGAGGGGGGCGUCGCCACGGUGCAGUCCCCUGCAUGGCAGCCGACACGGCCGCAGCUGAAUCAAGACCCCGACGAGGUCUCGAUGGCCUCUUCUGACCCUCGAGCACAUCCAGGCCAACAUCGAGCCCCGGAGGAUAGGCGGCGGGGAGACGCACGCGUCAACAUAGAUCGGCGCCACGACGACCUCCGCCAGACCGACGGGUGCGGCGGCCUCAAAGACGACGAGCCUGCGCUCGGUGUUGGCGGGUGCCUACCUUUCGAGGUCGGCUGCCCGACCUUUACACGAGAGUUGCGGCAAGUCCGUUGGCCGUCCGUUCGCACGUUCAAGCCAGAGAUACCUGAGAAGUACGAUGGGAGGCUGAACCCGGCAGAGUUCCUGAGCAUCUACACCAUCGCUGUUCAAGGUGUCGGGUGAAGAGAUGAGAAGGUGUUCACCAACUACUUCCCCUUGGCCCUCAAGUCCAAUGUGAGGUCUUGGCUGAUGCACCUACCGGAGAACUCCAUUUCUUCAUGGGCGGACCUAUGCCACGAGUUCAUCGGUGCCUUCACUGGUGGCACCAGGAGCCCGGCAGACCCAGCGACCUGCAACUUCUCCAACAGAAGGAAGGAGAAACUCUUCGUAAGUAUUUAUAGAGAUUCAGUAAAGUUCAUAGGAAUAUUCCGAAUAUCCAUCCAGAAGUUGUUAUGGCAGCCUUCCAGUCCAAUGUGCGCAACCGUCGCAUUCAUUCUAAGAUGAAUGUGUGGUUGCCCAAGACUGUGAAGGACCUAUACACACUGGUGGAUAAGGUGCUCGGAUGGAGGAAGGAAGAAAGUUGCCCGGAGAGGAGGAUUGCAUCAAUGUUGAUUCAGAGGAUAAGAUGAAUCAACCAGCCAGAGAAAGGGCAAGAAGCGCAGUAAGAAGCCAAGAGAUAAAGCAGUGAUGAUUGUAGAAGGUUCGGGCACGCCUAGUACCGGUAAGAAGGCCAAGGCAGAGGCCCUCAGCAAGGAAGUUGCCGCUUGCAUAGCCUGUCGGGAAGCUGCUGCCAUCGAAAAAGCUGGGAAAGGUGAUGGCCCGUAUUGUAAGAUCCACCGGACCAAGGGCCAUGACCUCCAGGAGUGUUAUCAGGUGGAGCAGUUUGUCAAGAAGCAGAGGGCAGAAUAUGAUAAGCGUGACAAGGAAAAAGGUCAGAAUGCCGCUGGCGGAAAGGGCUGAGGUGGUGAAGCAAAUCGCCCCGGCAAACCCUUUCGGAAAGAAGGAAAACCCGCCAGGGAUGAAGAGAAGGAAGUUUGUGAUGAUGUGAGCGAUGAAGGGAAUGAAGAGGAAACCAGUGAGUAGGAAUUUCAGAAGGCCACUCAUGCCCUAUGCAUUGAUGGGGGUGCAUCUUUGCACGCCUCCCACUGCCAGCUCAAGCGGUGGGCACGAGAGAUCAAUGUCGUGGAGCCAGCACCAGAGGCCCGAAAACCGCUCAAAUGGUCCCGCAAGCCAAUCAUCUUUGAUGAGGAGGAUCACCCUGGCUGCACCACCGUUUUAGGAUGCUUGUCGUUGUUGCUCUCCCCGACAAUUCGCAACCUCAAGGUCACAAAGAUGUUAGUGGAUGGCGGGGCCGGGUUGAAUCUGAUUUCCUCGGCAGUCAUCAGCAAGCUUCAGAUAGGAGAAGAAGAGCUAGAGGUUACCGGCAUGUUUCAAGGAGUUAACCCCAGCAGAAGCCAUCCUAAAGGGAAGAUUAUGUUGCCGAUGACAUUCAGGGGAGAACUGAACUACCGGACAGAGAAGGUUGUGUUUGAUGUGGUUGAUCUCCCCCUGCCGUACAAUGUGAUUCUUGGACGCCCGGCCCUGGCCAAGUUCAUGGCAGCAUGCCACUAUGCUUAUAACACUUUGAAGAUUCCUGGGCCACAGGGAGUCAUCACUAUCCCAUCGGAUGAGAAGGAUGCAAUUAUCGGCGUGGACAAGAUGUGCCGGGAUGCAGUCGCAGCAGAGGCUGCAGCAGCAACGGCUCCCGCCAAGCAAAGCAAAGGAAAAGAAAAGGGAUUUUAGGACCUCCGGCAAAGAGUCCGGCAAGCGUGCCCCUCCGAGUGCACGGCACCCGUUGACGAUGUGCUGGAGUGUUCCAACAGCAAGAGAUCCAAGGUCGCUGCACCCCAAGUGAAGAAGGUCCCGGCAGGGCUGGCUGGCGUUGAUGGUACUUUCACCAUCAGCGCCACCCUUGAUGACAAAUAGGAAAGCGCGCUUGUUGCCUUCCUGCGGGCGAAUGUCGAUGUGUUUGCCUGGCAACCAUCUGAUAUCCCCGGUGUUCCCAGGGAGGUAAUCGAGCACCACCUUGAUGUCUGCCCACGCGCCCGACCUAUCAAGCAGAAAGUCCAGAAGCAGGCCUUGGAGAGGCAGUAGUUCAUUGCCGAGGAAAUCAAGAAACUGGAGGCAGCUGGUUUGGUCAGAGGAGUACUGCAUCCUACAUGGUUAGCAAAUCCAGUGGUACUCCGGAAGGCUAAUAGGAAGUGGAGGCUUUGCAUUGAUUUCACAUAUCUCAGCAAGGCUUGCCCGAAGGACCCAUUUCCCUUGCCGCGCAUUGACCAGAUUGUGGAUUCCACUUCAGGGUGUGAUUUGCUCUCCUUUCUGGACGUGUAUUCCGGAUAUCACAAGAUCUUCAUGUCCAAAGAAGAUGAAGAGAAGACAUCGUUCAUCACCCCAUGUGGUACGUACUGCUUUGUCCGCAUGCCAUUCGGACUAAAGAGUGUUGGGUCCACUUUUGCAAGGGCAGUUCAGAUUGGUUUUGAGCCACAGUUGCACAGAAACAUAGAAGCCUAUAUGGAUGAUAUCAUGGUCAAAACAAGGAUAAGACCACUCUAAUCCAGGAUUUGGAGGAGACAUUUGCUAAUCUGCGCAAGAUCAAUUUGAAGCUUAAUCCGGAGAAGUGUGUGUUUGGAGUCCCCUCUGGCAAGCUGCUUGAUUUCUUCGUGUCCCAUCGGGGGAUCGAAGCUAACCCCGACAAGAUCAAAGCUAUCGAGCAAAUCCAAGCACCAAGGACAGUUAAGGAUGUGAGGCGCUUGACGGGAUGCGUUGCCGUGCUAAGUAGAUUCAUUUCCAAGUCUGCCGAGCGUGCCCUGCCAUUCUUUAAAAUUUUGAAGAAGGCAGGGCCCAUGAAGUGGACCCCGGAGGCAUAUGCAGCUCUGCAGGAGUUGAAGGCCUACCUAUCGUCUGUGCCUACCUUGGUUGCACCCAAACCCCAAGAGCCGUUGCUGCUAUACUUGACGGCAACCAACCAAGUGGUCAGUGCGGCCUUGGUAGCACAGCGAUAAGUGGAUGAGGCAGAAAGUGGACAGAUAACGGCAGAGUCAGAAAAGGAUCAGAACAGCAGUGAGCACGGCAACGAGGGCAACCCCAAGGACGCGGCAAGGAAGAAAGUGGUGCAGUGCCCAGUGUACUUCGUUAGCUCCUUGUUACAGGGGGCUAGAUCGAGGUACUCUGGCGUGCAAAAGUUGAUCUUUGGUCUCAUUAUGGCCUCAAGGAAACUGCGCCACUACUUCCAAGCCCAUGAGAUUACGGUUGUUACUCGUUUCCCGUUGCAAAGGAUACUCCGAAACCCUAAGGCUGCUGGUAGAAUAGUGGAGUGGGCUUUGGAGUUAUCCAGCUUUGGUCUGAAGUUUGAGAGCACAUCAACUAUUCAGAGCAGGGUGCUGGCAGAGUUUAUUGCGGAAUGGACGCCGGCCCCUGAUGAGGAAAUGACAGAGACAGCUAUCCCAGGCAAGGAAUCGCCCCAAGAAUGGAUUAUGUAUUUUGAUGGUACUUUUUUCCUACAGGGUGCAGGGGUUGGCGUGCUUCUUGUUUCCCCCUCCGGGAACACUUGAAGUACGUCGUCCAAAUGCACUUUGCCCGGGAAGAAGCCACCAACAAUACAGCUGAGUAUGAAGGGCUCCUUGCCGGGCUCAGGAUUGCAGCAGAAUUGGGAAUCAAGAAGUUGAUCAUACGAGGAGAUUCAUAGCUUGUGGUGAGACAAGUUAACAAGGAUCAUCAAAGCCCAUUGAUGGAAGCAUACAUCGAGGAAGUGAGGAGAUCAGAGGAGCACUUUGACGGGUUACAAACAAAGCACGUACCCCGUGCGAAAAACAGCAUAGCUGAUCACCUGUCAAAGUGUGAUGCACAGAAGCUUCCUGUGGAACCAGGAACUUUUGUUCUCCGUCUCUCUCAACCCUCCGUAUCACCAGCCACAAUGGCCCGGAAAAGGAGAAAGUUGGACUACGGUAAGCCUCUCCCGGUCGAGCCGUCCGCUCCCGGCAAAGACCCUGCCGGAAACAACUCCUCACAGCCUACCGGACCACCCCCUCCAGCCGGACCAAUGGACCCCGCGAACGAGGCUGGUGCUCCCGCAGCAGAGGAGGUGCCGCUAGUCCUCGUUGCCGAGCCCCAGGCUCCAACUUGGGCAAGGCACAUCAUCCGCUUCCUCCAAACCGGAGAACUUCCCGACGACCAAGAUGAAGCUGAGAAAGUAGCCCGGAGGGGCCAGUAUGUAUCAGUUUGUCGAUGACACUCUGUAUAGAAGGAGGCCCAAUGGUGUGAAAUUGAAGUGUGUCUGUCGGGAAGAUGGAAAGGAACUGCUGGCUGGGAUUCACAGAGGAAUGUGCGGCUCACACAUUGGAUCAAGGGCAUUAGUUGGGAAAGCAUUCUGGCAAGGAUUCUAUUGGCCCACAGCCCUCCAAGAUGCGGUUGAGCUCGUCACGACAUGUGAAGCCUGCCAGUUCCAUUCCAAGAGAACACACCUGCCUGCCCAAGCCCUUCAGACAAUCCCUUUAUCAUGGCCAUUUUCGGUCUGGGGGCUCGAUAUCCUCGGCCCCUUCCCCCGAGCAAUCGGGGGCUUUGAAUUCUUGUUUGUCGCUACCGACAAGUUUACAAAGUGGCCGAAGUGACUGUCGUGAGAAAGGUGACUGCUCAGUCAGCUAUCAAGUUCUUGAAAGAAUUGGUGUGUCGUUUUGGAGUUUCGGCAAGGAUCAUCACCGACAACGGCACCCAAUUCAUGAGCCACGCCUUCAUGCAAUAUGUUCAUACCCUCGGAUGCAAGAUCUCAUUCGCCUCUAUGGCACACCCCCGGAGCAAUGGAAAAGCUAAGAGGGCGAAUGCUGAAGUGCUACGUGGACUCAAGACAAGAACUUUCGAUACGCUGCAGAAGCACGGCAGGCGGUGGAUCGAGGAGUUGCCGGUAGUUCUCUGGUCCCUCAGAACGGCACCUAACCGAGCUACCGGGCAGACUCCCUUCUCCCUGGUCUACGGGGCAGAAGCAGUUAUCCCCACGGAACUCAUUUACGGGUCCCCUUGAGUGCUUGCCUACAAUGAAGUAGCGCAAGAUCAGCACCGGCGUGACGAUGCUAUGCUACUUGAGGAGAACCGUCUCCGGGCUGCUACGCGUGCUGCACGCUACCAGCAAGCCCUGCGUCGCUAUCACAGCCACAGGGUUCAUGCCCGGUGUUUUGAGGAAGGUGACCAUGUCCUUAGGCGCUAUCUGUCCGCCAAGGGUACAAACAAGCUAUCACCAAAGUGGGAAGGCCCUUACCGGGUGGUACGAGUCACCAGACCCGGCGCAGUCCGUCUGGAGACCGGAGAUGGCACUCAGUUGCAAAACUCAUGGAAUAUUGAGCAUCUCCGCAAGUACUACCCGUAAGGCGCGAGGCUGCCCGGCACUGCCUGGCAGCCACCCUUUUGUACAGGCCUUGCCUCAGUUGCAUGUAACCCCUUGUACAAAGCCGGGGUGAUGACCCCGUGCAAGAGAAAAUAAAGAAGCGUUGUAGGGAGGCCAACUAAGAUUGCAUGCAUGCAUGAGCACACCAAGAUCACUGCAUAAGCAUUUCAUGAGCAUUUGCAUAUGCAUAUAGAUAGGAUUGCAUCCUACAUUCAUUCUCAUCUACAUGGAGUUGCAGGUUCCUGCUGUGAACUUGGCUUCGACAAAGAACGAGAAGAUUGCACGGCACAGCGAUCCCCGACAAGCCAAACAGAUAAGUUUUACCUCUUGUCCAUUAGUGUUCUGUAAAGCUAUAACUUUGCAUGAGAAAACCUCGCCCCUCUUUUGAAACUUAGGUGCUCCCAUCCAUGACUCGAAUGUUGCUUCGGUCAGGAUGGUCGCAGUAGCAUUUGGUAAUAAAGGAGCUAGCAGGGGGCUGGCCCCUCUGUCUGUCCCCCGGCAAACAAAGAGGGUACCGGCAGGAUAUCCUGCCGGGGAAAACUCGUUUAUUUUCAUUAAAGAGGCACUCCACCUAUGCAUGGAAAUACACAUGCACGGGUUCCCGGUAAAGUUCAUCUUUUUCAUUCGUAUGCUAAUACAAGUACAAGCAUCAUGGAGCACAAAGAUGGACUCGAGAGAUUACAUUAUUUUGAAUUAAAAUUUGGCGAUUGCCUACAAAUUUAAGAUUGGAAAAAGAUAAGUGCUCCGUAAACUCCUCUCCCUGUCCCUCUUAUCCCAGGUAUUGCGGUGGGAAGAGAAGAGGACGACCACCACGCCGGGCACCAUGCUCUCUAAAUCCUUCCACAGAGAGCAUGGUCGUCCCUGGGGGCCCUGACGAUGGAAGUCACCGCACGUCCUGAAGACGUGUGAGAAAGCAAGGAGCCUUCCUAUUCGAUGAGAAAACCGCGCCCAGGAGGAGCUAGAUUCACCCCCGUUAGCAGCGAAUCUCUCCUACGGCUCCUCCCCGAUGUCGCAGAAGGAAGAAGAAUGGGGAGCGGUCAACUACCACGUGCCGUGCCCAUCUCGAGCCGCGACAUGGUGUUGGUCGCGUCCCCUCCCAUUGAAGUCAAGGCCACGGACGACCCGGCGACAGGCACGCCGGGGGUACCACUCCCGGCGUCGGCGUCGCGCCGCCCGAACCUUCCUCUCAGAUCCAAGGGAGACCCCAAGUAAGAGCCCAGGGGCUGGCCCCAGGCUCUUCUCUUCGGCAUCGCCGGCAGAAGCGGAGAACAAGGGAAGAAGAGGAGGAAUGCGAAGAUGGAUGACUCCGCCCUCCUCCGCCCCUCCCUUUUAUAGGCUGGGCGAGGAAGGGCAGCUGCUCCAUCAACGGGUGGUCACCGCCCUCCUCCGCCAAUUCAAGGCAGGAGGGCCCUCUCCAAGAUGCUCUCCCGCGCCACGCGCCUCAGUUACCUAUCUCGCACGAUGCAUGCAGCAUACGUGGCCAAGGAUAAGGGCGCGCAGUGGGAAGAGUAAAUUGGCAGUUUCUACCCCGUGCGUUAAAGUCAUUCACGGGACACCACUGGAGCGGCCCCACCACUAUUGGCUUUACGCCACGCGCUGAAGAACCGGAAACUAGCCCGAAAUCAAAGCUAAUGAAGCAGCAAUGGAAACCUCAAGGGGCCAACCCCUUCAGCAAAACUGCCUGUGCACUUAUUAGGCCCUAACCUGACGACGCUCAGGAGCGUGUUUGGGGCAGGCCCGGGGGCUUCUGUCGGUGCAACAGACCCUGGGUCCAUUGCCCAGACUGUGCACAGGCACAAGAACAAGAUUGAAGCACCAGAUAAAGUCAGAGAUUGAAGGACCAAGAGAUUUGAAGAACCAAUGCAGUUCAGAGGGACCAAGAUCAAUCCACAGGAGCAAUAUAUCGGCAAGAGAAGGGCCUCCCUUGCCGGGCAGGCGAGCCUAGCAAGGGGCGAGGCCACCACCAGAAGCAGACGAUCAAGACACCCCGGCAGGGCCUGCCGGGACUCGCGGAGGCAAAACCUCCCCACCAACCACUCAAACACGACCCACAUCAUCAAUCAGUGCGGUGUCAAGCCGCAAGGUGAUUAAGUGGCAGCCAUUCGCCACAUGGCAGCCAGUUCCUACAGAAGAAACCUACAGAUGACACCUGUCCUGCGACGUGUCAAGAGAACAGGCGGGGAGCUGGCAAGAUAGCCCGGCAAGCCUUGACGGGCAACCAGUGAUGUGACACUAAGCGGUGCAUUUAAUGCACCCUGCCAGCCCGCAGAGUUAGGUAUGAUAGCACUGUUUGCCAUCAUAUCAGUGGAUAAUGACCACUUUGCCAUUGUGGUGACCCCUUAAUCUAUAAAAGGAGGCCCAUGGCACCCGUAGGAAGUGUUGGAAAGUUGACGAACCCACACCCUCAUACGCGUGUAGUCGCUGCUGCCCUACGGCGACCCCUGUCGGGCAAGUGUACUGUGUUGCACCAUCCCCACUCCACCAUCAAUCCACUAAAGCAGGAGUAGGGUUUUACGCCUCGCGGCGGCCCGAACCUGGGUAAAUUUCUUGUGUGCUCUCUGUCGUGCUGCCGUGCGCUGGUCUGCUCUUUGUGCAAUGUGACGUCCCCCUGCCGAACCAGCAAGGGGCCUCGUGGUCCCAUAGGUGGUCGUGGAUAUCCUGCGACAUCUUUGGUGCGCCAGGUAGGGGGCUCGCUUGCGCGAACCUGAAAGCGUGCGCAGCGCGUCAUCUUCAUCACCAUCUUCGUCUUCCAUGACGCCAUCGACCAUGGCGCCCAAGAAGAAGAAGUCCGGCCCUUCUACCCAUCCGUCCACCUCGAAGGCUCCGCCGCCCGCGGCAUCUGGUGCCUUGGAGGAUGCGGGGGCGAGCGAGGACGUGAACGCUGCUGGGGGCAUGGUUGGAGCAGGUGGCUCCAUCGCCGCUCCCCCCGCGGCCGACACGGGGGCUGGAGAUGUCGGAGGAGAACACCAUCAGCAACGCCUUGACGGUCAUGCUCCACAAGGUGCGGGCGAGGGGGUCACUCCGUUUGCACCCCCUCCUACCACUAACGGGCACAGCCGCGGCAACGGUGCUCGGUCCGGGGUGAGCCAUCGCCCUCCGGCCGCCCCCACCGCGGGAGCGACCGCGGCCCAUGUGCCUCUUGCCGGACGAGCCGACCAGACCACUGCGCCCGACGGAGCCGCUGACCCUCGAGCACCAUCGUCGCGCGACCCCGCUGCCCACAUGGUCGUCCCACAGCUGCGUGGACGCGGCACUACCGCCAUCGCCACCACUGGCACCAUAAGGAGCCGGGCGACGGUGUGGUCAACGUCAUCGACAUCUAUGCCAAGCACAGCCACGGAGGCUAUGGCGCGAGCUCAGUUGCUACUAAGGUUUCCGCCGGCGGCCGAGCUGAUGGAUGAAUGGUGUGCCACCAUCUAGAGCCUGCUGGACCCUGAAGCCCCAAAUCAUCUUCUGUUAUGUAUGUACUCCCAUAAUUAUUAAGCAAAUUCCCAAAAAUGGUGUUUCUUUCAUGCGUAUAUCGUUUUGGUUCGGAGUUUUGGGCACUUGAUCCAAAUAUGAGGAAGGAUAGAUAUCUUGUAGCAAAUCAGAUUCAUGAUCAUGUCAUGAUUCCUCAAGGGCCUCAUGAUUGUUGGUGUUUCUUUCUUUCAAUUGAAGACACCAGAGUGAUUCCCUAAUUUUCAUAGUUGUACCAGCAGGAUUAUCAUAACAUCUAAGCAAAAUUUUCCUUGGUUAUUACACAGUUAAGGUAGUGAUUUUUUUGUAGAUUUCUACAGUGCCUAAUUUGAAUCAGUAAGGAUAAUUAUAUUUCAAGUCUUUAAUGCCAAGCUCAAAGUUUGAAGAUAGAAAAUUGAGGCGUGUGAUCAUAUGUCAAUACUUAAAGAGCCUUUAGUUUUUCUUAAUAAGAAUGCAGAAAUUGAAGCAUGUAGACCUUUUGAUGUAAACAUAUAGUCCCUCCAUCCAAAAUCAAGUGUCUUUGAUUUAGUAUAAUUGUAGUAUAAAGUUGUACUAAAUCAAAUACACUUAUUUUUGGACGGAGGGAGUAUAAGAUAUAGCUGAUGUGAUAAACCAGGGGUACCACUGCAUUUCAUUAUAUAGUUUUCUUAUGAUAUGUAGAAUUAAAUUAAAUGUAAUUUGCAUGUACAUUCAAAUUAUAGUAUUGCUAUGUAGUACUAAUAUGCAUGGUCACAUUAUGGUAAUGACCAUCUGCUAGGAAGUGAUGUACUUAUGACUUUACCACUCUCCAGGUACUUCUUGAAUGUACUUCUCGAGCUACUACUGCCUUAUACCAAGUAAAUCAUCUUUGUCAGCACUAGAUUCCUUGAACUUUAUUAGGUAUAUACAUCUCGCUCUUCCUCUGUUGUAAAUUUUGUACUCCCUCCGUCCCAAAAUAAGUGUCUCAACUUUGUACUAGCUUUAAUGCAAAGUUAUACUAAAGUUGAGACACUUAUUUUGAGAUGGAGUGAGUACAUACUAAGUGUUUAUUUUGAAUGAGCUUCUUAUAUUUCAGUGUUGUCGGUCGGCACAAUCACCAUAAUGCAAUGAUGAGUCACUCUUCUUGUACUGUUGCAUCUACAUAAUUGACCUUGUAUAUUUCCUGUUUAUAUGCCAAUAUAUGUGUCCAUGUGCUGACAUUUGUGAUCUGCAUUUUAUAACAAUUGCAAAAGGACAACAUAUUUGGCAUGGAACUUCUUUGAAAAUAUUCUUUGAAAUGGCACUGCUCUGUUUUCCUUUUACAAUCUCAAUAGAUACUAUACUGGUAUACUUUUUUCUUGUCAUGAUAAUUUGGGAUUUAUAUGUUGGGAGUCCUUCGAUGUGCAAAACAAUUCUUUUGUACUAUUAGAGUGCUCCACGUGUAGCAAUAUAAACUUAUUCAGAUUUCGUAUUUCUUUGAUGAUAUUGUAGGAAUAUUUAUCGUUCUUCAUACAUUCCGUGGAUGCCUCGUCAUAUAAAGGAGAUGAGAGAAAGGAACUGGUGAGGGUGAAAGUCGGUUUUGUGCUUCAAGGAUUGGAGGUUGUGAGAUUUACAAGAGGUGAUGGAGGACAGUUAGUUAUUGCGGCUUAACAUAUAGUAGUAGAAGAUGAGUACAAGGAUAAGCUCAUAGACAAACUAUAGAGCAUGAGGCACAUAUACUUUUGCAAUCUUAUUCAUUAUCUAAUGUAAGAGGAUCAAAUAUGUAUUUUGUUCUUGUGAAUGUUGAGAAGG